AUCCCUAUGGUAUAAAAAUCUCUGGUAAUUACUCAGUUGACUGCUCUUGCGUGAAUGAAAAUGUCUUGCCCUGCCCAGGGACGGCGGACAACCUUCGAAAUAACCUUUUCCGAACGAUGUCAGCAGUCAGGAACUUGAGAGCAAAACACGCGAACCAGUAACCAUCAAUCUUAAGGAGAAUUUGGCGACUUAUACAGGAUUCAACCAGUUCUACCGAAGCGGUGUGUAAAUACUCCAAGAUAAAGUUAGUCCCAGGUACUUAAAAGGAUCGUCUUUACCCUUCAGUUGAGAUAACGAACUCUGCUCAACGAGGGACAUUCCUAUAGUAUCGAUGGUGUCAAAUCCGAACCCUCCUCCUCCGGGCUUGGACGACCAGAGAACCUUCUUCAGAAAAAAAUAACAGACAAAGCCAUCGCAACAGAGACGGACGGGAGGCAGUAUCAUCUUCAUCGUUUCGGGCUCGACGCGACAAGGACUGAGUUACACGAUCGGGGAACGCUUACCUUGAAGUCAGACGUGGAGACGGUGGUGGCAGGGAGUGACUCUCGUCGAAAUCUCUCAGCCUAGCUGCGAGUCCGUCCAGCGAAGAAGCGAUCGAGCCACUUGGACUGGACCCUCUGUGAGAUGUGAAAGUAAUUUUACGUCACCUGCUGAUCGUCUGGAGUCCAAAUUCCACACGUGAUGGUUGCCUGGUCAUU